AGAGGAUGCUCGCCUGAAGAAGAUGCGUUCCGAAUCCAUCUCAUUCGAAGAAGGUGACCUGAAGACCAGCGGCGUGACCGGAAGGAUUGAACAAGAAGCUUUACUUCACGACACCAUGAAGGCAGCCAAAUAGUGCAGAACUCAGUCAUUCAAAGGUAGACAUUCCCUGCCAGAUGUUGUAAAGAUGGACGAAAGAGAACAAAAGGAAACUCUCCAAGAACUCCAACACUGUGAAGAUGAGGACCGAUCCAUGGAGCUGAGGGAGCCGUUCAUGUUUUCUUUUCAGCUGAAGAGUGACUUUGAAGUGUUUUGUGCCGAAAUUAUGGAUGUGAAAAACCUAAAGGUUUAUGUCUGUUUUGAGGAGUAAUAAAUCCUAGUUUUUGCCA